rnacentral:rRNA from 1 species
GAUGAACGCUGGCGGCGUGCCUAAUACAUGCAAGUCGAGCGAACGGACGAGAAGCUUGCUUCUCUGAUGUUAGCGGCGGACGGGUGAGUAACACGUGGAUAACCUACCUAUAAGACUGGGAUAACUUCGGGAAACCGGAGCUAAUACCGGAUAAUAUUUUGAACCGCAUGGUUCAAAAGUGAAAGACGGUCUUGCUGUCACUUAUAGAUGGAUCCGCGCUGCAUUAGCUAGUUGGUAAGGUAACGGCCUACCAAGGCAACGAUGCAUAGCCGACCUGAGAGGGUGAUCGGCCACACGGGAACUGAGCCACGGUCCAGACGCCUGCGGGACGCAGCAGUAGGGAAUCUUCCGCAGUGGGCGAAAGCCUGACGGAGCAAGGCCGCGUGAGUGAUGAAAGUCUUCGGAUCGUAAAACUCUGUUAUUAGGGAAGAACAUAUGUGUAAGUAACUGUGCACAUCUUGACGGUACCUAAUCAGAAAGCCACGGCUAACUACGUG